rnacentral:rRNA from 1 species
GACGAACGCUGGCGGCGGGCUUAACACAUGCAAGUCGAACGGAAAGGCCCUGCUUUUGUGGGGUGCUCGAGUGGCGAACGGGUGAGUAACACGUGAGUAACCUGCCCUUGACUUUGGGAUAACCUCAGGAAACUGGGGCUAAUACCGUAUAGGAGCUCCUCCUGCAUGGUGGGGGUUGGAACGUUUCGGCGGUUGGGGAUGGAUUCGCGGCUUAUCGGCUUGCUGGUGGGGGAGGGGCAUACGCAGCCUUUGACGGGUCGCCGGCCUGAGUGCGGGGACGGCGACCUUGGGACUGAGAGACGGCCCAGACUGCAACGGGGGGCAACAGUGGCGAACCUUACACAAUGGGACCAAGCCUGAUAAAGAAGCGCCGGGUGCGGAAAGACGGCCUUUGGGUUGUAAAACGCUUUAGCUUAUGACGACGCGUGAGUGACGGUACCGGGUAAAGAAGCACCGGCUAACUACGUG